GAUCCUGGCUCAGGAUGAACGCUAGCGACAGGCUUAACACAUGCAAGUCGAGGGGCAGCGAGGGAGUGGCAACACUUCUGUCGGCGACCGGCGCACGGGUGAGUAACGCGUAUGCAACCUGCCCUUCACAGGGGGAUAACCGGGAGAAAUUCCGACUAAUACCGCAUACGUCCUUUGGGGGCAUCCCCUGGGGAUGAAAGAGUUAUCGGUGAAGGAUGGGCAUGCGUGAUAUUAGGUAGUUGGCGGGG
rnacentral:rRNA from 1 species